rnacentral:rRNA from 1 species
AUUGAACGCUGGCGGAAUGCUUUACACAUGCAAGUAGAACGGCAGCACGGACUUCGGUCUGGUGGCGAGUGGCGAACGGGUGAGUAAUGUAUCGGAACGUGCCCAGUCGUGGGGGAUAACGUAGUGAAAAUUACGCUAAUACCGCAUACGAUCUAUGGAUGAAAGCGGGGGAUCCCAUGACCUCGCGCGAUUGGAGCGGCCGAUAUCAGAUUAGGUAGUUGGUGGGGCAAGGGCCCACCAAGCCAACGAUCUGUAGCUGGUCUGAGAGGACCACCAGCCACACUGGAACUGAGACACGGUCCAGACUCCUACGGGAGGCAGCAGUGGGGAAUUUGGGACAAUGGGCGAAAGCCUGAUCCAGCCAUUCCGCGUGCAGGAUGAAGGCCCUCGGGUUGUAAACUGCUUUUGUACAGAACGAAAAGGUUUCUACUAAUACUAGGAGCUCAUGACGGUACUGUAAGAAUAAGCACCGGCUAACUACGUGCCAGCAGCCGCGGUAA